GUGGAACCUCUUCACUCCCCGGCGCCCGAGUCUCCCGCCGUCGCUCAGGCCUCGGGACCCGCCGGAGAGGCUCCGACUCGGCGCCCUAGCUCGGCGGGGCCCCGAUACCCGGACCGCCGCCGCCUCCAGCCGCCUUCGGAAUUGAAGAUCUGUUGGAAAACUUACAAGAUCAUAAAAUUUAGAUGACCAAAAUGGAUAUCCGUGGUGCCGUGGAUGCUGCUGUUCCAACCAACAUUAUCGCUGCCAAGGCUGCAGAAGUUCGCGCGAACAAAGUGAACUGGCUGUCCUAUCUUCAGGGACAGAUGAUUUCUGCUGAAGAUUGUGAAUUCAUUCAAAGGUUUGAAAUGAAAAGAAGUCCUGAGGAGAAGCAAGAAAUGCUUCAAAGUGAAGGCAGUCAGUGUGCUAAAACAUUUAUAAACCUGAUGACUCAUAUCUCCAAAGAACAGACAGUUCAGUACAUAUUAACUAUGGUCGAUGAUAUGUUGCAGGAAAAUCAUCAGCGUGUUAGCAUUUUUUUUGACUAUGCUAAACGGAGCAAGAACACUGCCUGGUCCUACUUUCUGCCAAUGUUGAAUCGCCAGGAUCUCUUUACUGUUCAUAUGGCAGCAAGAAUUAUUGCCAAGUUAGCAGCUUGGGGAAAAGAAUUGAUGGAAGGCAGUGACUUAAAUUACUAUUUCAAUUGGAUAAAAACGCAGCUGAGUUCACAGAAACUGCGUGGUAGCGGUGGUGCUGUUGAAACAGGAACAGUCUCUUCAAGUGAUAGCUCUCAGUAUGUGCAGUGUGUUGCCGGGUGUCUGCAGCUGAUGCUUCGGGUCAAUGAGUACCGCUUUGCCUGGGUAGAAGCAGAUGGGGUAAACUGCAUAAUGGGAGUUUUGAGCAACAAAUGUGGCUUUCAACUCCAGUAUCAAAUGAUUUUUUCAAUAUGGCUCCUGGCGUUCAGUCCUCAAAUGUGUGAGCACCUGCGGCGCUAUAAUAUCAUUCCUGUUCUAUCCGAUAUCCUGCAAGAAUCUGUCAAAGAGAAAGUGACAAGAAUCAUCCUUGCAGCAUUCCGUAACUUUUUAGAAAAAUCAGCUGAAAGAGAAACUCGCCAAGAAUAUGCUUUGGCUAUGAUCCAGUGCAAAGUUCUGAAACAGUUGGAGAACUUGGAACAGCAAAAGUAUGAUGAUGAAGACAUCAGUGAAGAUAUAAAAUUUCUUUUGGAAAAACUUGGGGAAAGUGUUCAGGAUCUUAGCUCAUUUGAUGAAUACAGUUCAGAACUUAAAUCUGGAAGAUUGGAAUGGAGUCCUGUGCACAAAUCUGAAAAAUUUUGGAGAGAAAAUGCUGUAAGGUUAAAUGAAAAGAAUUAUGAACUCCUGAAAAUUUUGACAAAACUUCUGGAAGUAUCAGAUGAUCCACAAGUCUUAGCUGUUGCUGCUCAUGAUGUUGGGGAAUAUGUGCGGCAUUAUCCACGGGGCAAACGGGUCAUUGAGCAGCUUGGUGGGAAGCAGCUGGUGAUGAACCACAUGCACCACGAAGACCAGCAGGUUCGCUACAACGCUCUCCUGGCUGUGCAGAAACUCAUGGUGCACAACUGAAUGAUUUUAUAUGUAAUCAGCUUGUAAUUCAGAAGCAGCAAUAUGUGCAUAUGGACAGCUCAAGACUUCAGGAAAGAAACACUGAAUUUUGGAAUAUCUUGGUAAACAGCUCCAAUCUGAGCAACCUCAGAGUACUGCUGCCCGAAGCUGAACCAACUUCCCAUGUCACCUGUGAUGGCGGAACACCUGGAGUGUCAAUUUCAGUAGUUAAAUAACUCAUUUUAUUUGUAAUUUUCUUCUGCUGUGUAGCUGUUUCCACUGCUGAUUUCUAGUAAAAGUGUUUGCCCAUUAAUCUGUAUAAAAGUAAAUGCUUUCUGUACCUAAGGAAAAGAUUACUGUUACAUAUAUUGCUUGUAUUUCUAUAUUUAUUAUUCUCUGGAAAUGAAUAUAGUUAUUAAAGGCUUCUGACUCCAAA